GAUUCUAACUUAGCUAAGCAAUGCUACUGGAGACCAUAGGCAAAGCCAAGGUACAGCUUCAGGGAAGUCUUUGGUGACCCCAUCUCUCAUUACCAAGGUAACGAAGCGCAGACUCCGGGCCUGGGUGGGCGGCAUCACCACCAGGUUCACGCCGAGAAGGAGCUGGAGGAGAGCCGCCCGGCUCCAGCCGGACCGCUUGCCCGCCAUCACCGUUGUAAUCUAUGCAGCAAACAAGCUGGAACCCGCUGGGUGGCACCUGCAAGCAGCCGCCCGGACGCACCCACUCUGCGGUGGAGCUGUGGAAGCCAGGCGCACAGGAUGCAAGCAGCCAGGCCCAGGGAGGCAGCAGCUGCAUCCUCAGAGAGGAAGCCAGGAUGCCCCACUCUGCCGGGGGUACUGCAGGGGUGGGGCUGGAGGCUGCAGAGCCCACAGCCCUGCUCACCAGGGCAGAGCCCCCUUCAGAACCCACAGAGAUCCGUCCACAAAAGCGGAAAAAGGGGCCAGCCCCCAAAAUGCUGGGGAACGAGCUAUGCAGCGUGUGUGGGGACAAGGCCUCGGGCUUCCACUAUAAUGUUCUGAGCUGCGAGGGCUGCAAGGGAUUCUUCCGCCGCAGCGUCAUCAAGGGAGCGCACUACAUCUGCCACAGUGGCGGCCACUGCCCCAUGGACACCUACAUGCGUCGCAAGUGCCAGGAGUGUCGGCUUCGCAAAUGCCGUCAGGCUGGCAUGCGGGAGGAGUGUGUCCUGUCAGAAGAACAGAUCCGCCUGAAGAAACUGAAGCGGCAAGAGGAGGAACAGGCUCAUGCCACAUCCUUGCCCCCCAGGGCUUCCUCACCCCCCCAAAUCCUGCCCCAGCUCAGCCCGGAGCAACUGGGCAUGAUCGAGAAGCUGGUCGCUGCCCAGCAACAGUGUAACCGGCGCUCCUUUUCUGACCGGCUUCGAGUCACGCCUUGGCCCAUGGCACCAGAUCCCCAUAGCCGGGAGGCCCGUCAGCAGCGCUUUGCCCACUUCACUGAGCUGGCCAUCGUGUCUGUGCAGGAGAUAGUUGACUUUGCUAAACAGCUACCCGGCUUCCUGCAGCUCAGCCGGGAGGACCAGAUUGCCCUGCUGAAGACCUCUGCGAUCGAGGUGAUGCUUCUGGAGACAUCUCGGAGGUACAACCCUGGGAGUGAGAGUAUCACCUU
rnacentral:sRNA from 1 species